CUUUUUGUGCAAAACUAUUUGCAAUGGGGUUGCAUUGCACUGUCAAUAUGAAUAGACUUUUGAACGUUAAAAAGCAGAUGCAAAGUGUCCUAGCUGAAUGUCAUCUUCGCCGACACGCGUUUUGUAUUCAUAAUGACGGUAAUUUCAUUUACUGGCAAAUGAUGGGAGGCAAAUGAGAUUGAUAUUUCAAUUCGACGAAAAUGUAAAUAAAGAAAUGAACAUCUCCCGUGACUGGCCUACCAUUGGUAAUUCCAAGGAGAGUGUUUUGACUUGUGAAGUUAUUCGUGAACUUAUUUUAACAUGUAAUACUGUCUAGUAAUUUGUAAAGCAUAUCACAUGAACCUUGCGACGCUUGUACUUCAAACGUUGUUCUGUUCUUGCUCGUGGCCCUGACGCUUCUGGCCAUACCAUGUCUCUUCUCGCGCGGACCUGAAGAAGCUGUUGAAAAGACGACAAUGAAUUGGUCAGCUCUGCUU